rnacentral:rRNA from 1 species
AUUGAACGCUAGCGGCAUGCUUUACACAUGCAAGUCGAACGAGUGGCGGACGGGUGAGUAAUAUAUCGGAACGUGCCCAGUAGCGGGGGAUAACUACUCGAAAGAGUGGCCAAUACCGCCUACUAUUGGAGCGGCCGAUAUCGGAUUGGCUGGUUGGUGGGGUAAAGGCUCACCAAGGCAACGAUCCGUAUCGGGUUUGAGAGGUUGACCGGCGACACGGGAACGGGGACCCGGCCCAGACUCCUACGGGAGGCAGCGGGGGGGAAUUUUGGACAAUGGGGGAAACCCUGAUCCAGCCAUCCCGCGUGUAUGAGAAGGCCUUCGGGUUGUAAAGUACUUUUGGCAGAGAAGCGGUAUCUGCAGAAUAAGCACCGGCUAACUACGUGCCAGCAGCCGCGGUAAUUC